AAAUCUUAAAGGCAGUUGUGGUGAGGGCUCUGAAAGAAAAGAGGAGAGAGCGAGAGAGAGAGAGAGAGAGAGAGAGAGAGAGAGCGCGCUUGAGCUUCCACCUUCUUAGGGAAAAGAGCAUGUCCCAUAAAGGCCAUUCUGGUGAGACCUCAGAGGGAAACAAGGAAGAGGUUCCUGGAGACUGCAGGAAAGUUGUUAACGUGGCAAAGAACUGGGCUGAACUAUGUUUGCAUUCUGGUGUUUUUGCGAAAGGUAGAGCUAGCAAGCAGCGAUGUUGGAUAUUUAGCUGAGAUUUCUAAGCAAAAGUGUUUACGGAGCGACUUGGCUUCUCCUGACAUUAUAGUAAAAUGUGAGGAGAGAGAGAUGAAUGUGAAGAAAGAAUUGUUGAGCAAAAGGAACUAGAACUUGAAGAUCUGGAAAAUUCUCGGCCUAUCCCUAAGGCAAAAAGUGAGAAAGCAUGUGCUAGAGAGAACCAAGCGUGCAUUUGGAAUAUCAUUUGAUAUAGGGCUUCUGGGCUUAUGUGAGCAGAAACACUGCCAGUUUGAACCGAAAGGCUCUGAGAUGGGGCAAAAUGAAGGGAGGCCAUCCUCAGAUGUGACAGGACAGGAGGAGAGAGCUCUUUGGCUGUGAGUGUGCAAUAUCCUUCAAGAGGAGUGGAAAUGACCCCAAAGGUGAGUGAGAGAUCCAGGGCCACUGCCUCGGUUUCAACAGGCCAGAUGCCUUCUACCCCAAAGCCCCGAGGACAGGCCCGGCCUGCAGAGCAGGACCUGGAGGCAGGACCUCCACCCCAAUGGGUCUGGAAGGCAAAGCACUGAACCAAAGAGGAUUAUUUUCAAGUCUUAAAAUAUGAUGGAAUUCGCCUUGCCUGGGAACUGCCACCUUUUCCUUUUCCCCUAUUCCUCCCUUUGGAAUGGGAAUGUCAAUCCUACGCCUGCCCCACAGCUGUAUUUCGGAAGCAUAACAAGUCCGGUUCCACAGGUUCACAGGAGAGGAAUUCUUGAGUCUCACAAUAUCUGAUUUAGGACUGAUGGCCUUAGAAGAAGAGGAAGAGAGAUCAUUCUGUCUCCCUGAGGGUUCACUUGGAGGAACCACCAUGUGAAGACCCGGUGAGAAGGCCACUGUCUGCAAGGCAAGGGGAGAGCUUCAUCCCAGACCCCUCCCUGGCCGGCACCCCAAGAACCACGAGAAGAAACACAUUUCUGUGAACUGCUCCCGAGCCUGGUUGUUCUUCGCCGUCAGGUUGCCAAGGAUGAAGACGAUCCGCACCACCAGAUCCUGCAGGGAAGGGGGAGCCGGUUAGAGGGCCGAGGAGCUGGGGCCAGUUGCUGGAAGGAGUACAGCGUGUUCAUUUAUUCACGGUGUGAUUACUAGAAGAGGGGGGCACAUCUGGCGCCCACGAACUUGUCUAGAGUUUGAGUCUCAAGAUCGGUGCAAAUUGAUGGAGGAGAUUAACAAGCACUUGGAGCAGUGAAAGGCUACGAACUGAGUGAUGCUAUUAGCGAGGGCAUUAACUUCAGAUCCUGUGUCUGAAAUCCUGGUUGGCCUCUUUUCUUUUCUUUUUAACCCCUCAGACAACAAUUAGUCAAGUGGGAUAGGAUUACUGAUACCGUGUCAUGUAAAUCUAAGUAGUGACACCAACAGGUUGCCACAACACCCAAAUCUUUCCCUAGAAGUUCACCUCCUGCUGAAGGCGCUGUGUUUCUGAAAAUCGACUGUUCCGCACGACGGCUGAUCAGACUGUGUUAGAGCGCGCUUUCCCAACCUGGGCCCCACAGACUUUGGGGGCAGGAUAAUCCUUGCUGUGGGGGGGCUAGAUUUAGCAGCAGUAUUCCUGGCUCUUACUAUAGAUGCCAGUAGCACCUCCCCAGACGUCACAACCAAGAAGGUCUAACCGUCUUUUUUAAGUAGGCUUCACGCCCAAUAUGGGGCUUGAACCCAUGACCCUGAGAUCAAGGAUCGCGUGCAACUGAGCCAGCCAGGCAGCCCACAACCAAAAAGGUUUGAAUGUCCCCUGGGGACAGAAUCACUGUGUUUGACAAAUAUAUCACUUUAAAGCAGUGCUUUUCCUUCUUGACUAGGGUAGUGGUUACGUGGGCGAUGCCCUUACCCCUACUGGCUGAGGUGCACGUGUGUGCUUACCCACUUUUCUGCAUAUACGCUCUAUUUCACGUUAAAUAAAUGUUUCGAAAAAUCCCAAACUGAGAACAAUUUACAAGUAAACAGGACACAAAAACAAUUACAUUCUUAAUUCUAUAACAGACAGACAAAUGAGAACACUGGCCUUCCCCAUACCCAGGGACAGUGAGGAGAUUCCUUGGGGAGGAAGAGACUUACUCACUCAGAGGCUGUGAGUGAUCCGGGUGCUAACUCUCACUGUGCUGGCUGUGCAAUUUGACAGACAAGAAAUGGGUUUUUAGAACCUGCCUGGUCACACAACGAGCAAGGAGUGAGUCAGGAUUUGAAUCCAGGAUCCCUGACCUGGAGUGCUUUCUAGAGCCAAGCCUCCCACAUGGCCUGUCCUGCAAGGAUCUCCUUUGCCUUGUCUUUUGCAGAGCAGCUAAGGAAUUAUCUCCUUUUAAAAUGCAAAUAUGUGGGGCUCCUGGGUGGCUCAGUGGGUUCAGCCUCUGAUCUUGAUUUCAGCUCAGGUCAUGAUCUC